rnacentral:tRNA from 1 species
AAGUUGGCAGAAUAUAUGUGAAUGAAUUAGGAUCAUUUUAUAAGAAAUUUUUUUCUUACUU